rnacentral:rRNA from 1 species
GGUGAGUAAUGCAUAGGAAUCUACCUAGUAGUAUGGGAUAGCCACUGGAAAUGGUGGGUAAUACCGUAUAAUCCCCGCGGGGGAAAGAUUUAUCGCUAUUAGAUGAGCCUAUGUCGGAUUAGCUAGUUGGUGGGGUAAUGGCCUACCAAGGCAGUGAUCUGUAGCUGGUCUGAGAGGAUGAUCAGCCACACUGGAACUGAGACACGGUCCAGACUCCUACGGGAGGCAGCAGUGGGGAAUAUUGGACAAUGGGCGCAAGCCUGAUCCAGCUAUGCCGCGUGAGUGAGGAAGGCCUUAGGGUUGUAAAACUCUUUCAGUAGGGAAGAUAAUGACGGUACCUA